UACGGAGGGUGCAAGCGUUGUUCGGAAUUAUUGGGCGUAAAGCGCGCGCAGGCGGUCGAAAAAGUCUAUGGGUAAAAGGCCGGGGCUCAACCCCGUGUACGCCCCAGGAUACUGUUCGACUGGAGACACGUAGAGGCAAGCGGAAUUCCGGGGUGUAGCGGUGGAAUGCGCAGAGUAUCGGGGAGGAACACCGGUGGCGAAGGCGGCUUGCUGGGCCAGUUCUGACGCUGAGGAGCGAAAGCGUGGGGAGCGAACAGG
rnacentral:rRNA from 1 species